rnacentral:rRNA from 1 species
CCCUUAGAUGUUCUGGGCCGCACGCGCGCUACACUGACGGAUUCAACGAGCUUACAACCUUGGCCGAAAGGUCUGGGUAAUCUCCAAAAUCCGUCGUGAUGGGGAUAGAUUAUUGCAAUUAUUAAUCUUCAACGAGGAAUGCCUAGUAAGCGCAAGUCAUCAGCUUGCGUUGAUUACGUCCCUACCCUUUGUACACACCGCCCGUCGCUCCUACCGAUUGAAUGGUCCGGUGAAGCGUUUGGACUAUGGUUUUCUGAUGGUCCGCCGUUGGAUUACCGUGGGAAGUUCGUUAAACCUUAUCAUUUAGAGGAAGGAGAAGUCGUAACA